rnacentral:lncRNA from 1 species
CCCAUUUCAAUUAUUUAUUAUUACCAGUGAAACCAAUAUAACAUCUCAACAUUCACAAAUAUAAAUUUCUGACAUUCAAAAACAAAACAAAUCAGUGACCAAUAUAGCCACCUUUCUUUGCAAGGACACUCAAAAGCCUGCCAUCCAUGGAUUCUGUCAGUGUUUUGAUCUGUUCACCAUCAACAUUGCGUGCAGCAGCAACCAGAGCCUCCCAGACACUGUUCAGAGAGGUGUACUGUUUUCCCUCCUUGUAAAUCUCACAUUUGAUGAUGG